AUGAUCCCAAAGGCAGUCUUCCAUGGGAGUCAGGUCCUCAGCUCCUCCCCUCACCCACCCUGUCCUAACCCCCCCCCCCCAGGGGGAGGCUGGACCCUGAGGGCUCUUCCCUAGCUCUUGGGUAGAAAUGACAUCUCAGGAGCUGAGGGGAUGGUGAGAAGGGUCUAACCUCUCCUCCCUCCACAAACCAUCCUGUGUAUCUUUUAAGGA
rnacentral:lncRNA from 1 species